rnacentral:rRNA from 1 species
UACGUAGGGUGCAAGCGUUGUCCGGAAUUAUUGGGCGUAAAGAGCUCGUAGGCGGCCUGUCACGUCGGCUGUGAAAACCCGAGGCUCAACCUCGGGCCUGCAGUCGAUACGGGCAAACUAGAGUGUUGCAGGGGAGACUGGAAUUCCUGGUGUAGCGGUGAAAUGCGCAGAUAUCAGGAGGAACACCGGUGGCGAAGGCGGGUCUCUGGGCAACAACUGACGCUGAGGAGCGAAAGCGUGGGGAGCGAACAGG